rnacentral:rRNA from 1 species
CAGCAGCCACGGUAAUACAGAGGAUGCAAGCGUUAUCCGGAAUGAUUGGGCGUAAAGCGUGCGCAGGCGGUUUUGUAAGACAGGCGUGAAAUCCCCGGGCUCAACCUGGGAAUGGCGCUUGUGACUGCAAAGCUAGAGUGCGGCAGAGGGGGAUGGAGUUCCGCGUGUAGCAGUGAAAUGCGUAGAUAUGCGGAGGAACACCGAUGGCGAAGGCAAUCCCCUGGGCCUGCACUGACGCUCAUGCACGAAAGCGUGGGGAGCAAACAGGAUUAGAUACCCCUGUAGUCCCUGUCUCUUAUAC